AGCAGGCAAUAAGCGCAAGUGACGGUACCUGCAGAAGAAGCACCGGCUAACUACGUGCCAGCAGCCGCGGUAAUACGUAGGGUGCAAGCGUUGUCCGGAAUUAUUGGGCGUAAAGAGCUCGUAGGCGGUCUGUCGCGUCUGCUGUGAAAAUCCAGGGCUUAACCCUGGACCUGCAGUGGGUACGGGCAGACUAGAGUGCGGUAGGGGAGAUCGGAAUUCCUGGUGUAGCGGUGAAAUGCGCAGAUAUCAGGAGGAACACCGGUGGCGAAGGCGGAUCUCUGGGCCGUAACUGACGCUGAGGAGCGAAAGCAUGGGGAGCGAACAGGAUUAGAUACCCUGGUAGUCCAUGCCGUAAACGUUGGGCGCUAGGUGUGGGGCUCAUUCCACGAGUUCUGUGCCGCAGCAAACGCAUUAAGCGCCCCGCCUGGGGAGUACGGCCGCAAGGCUAAAACUCAAAGGAAUUGACGGGGGCCCGCACAAGCGGCGGAGCAUGCGGAUUAAUUCGAUGCAACGCGAAGAACCUUACCAAGGCUUGACAUACAGGGUAAUCCGGCAGAGACGUCGGGUCCGCAAGGGAUCCUGUACAGGUGGUGCAUGGUUGUCGUCAGCUCGUG
rnacentral:rRNA from 1 species